AAAAACAACGAGUCGCCGUCUACGUCAGUGUGGGCUUAAACUUUUUUUUUCCUUAAUUUAAAUUAUUUGUAAACUUUUGCGAAUAGAAGAUUUCACUGUAUGUAAUGAAAACUGUACAAGUGCUGCUAAAUAUACCUUAAGACACGACGCAAGAAACUACACUUGGAAUAUAUCGCUACAUCUGAGUACGUCGCUUAUCAACGUAAUUUGGCUGUGAUAUAGCCGUGAUAAUCACGUCUGCGAUGUGGGACAGUUGGUGGCUUUGACGUGAAUUUUGACCUCUAAAUUUUCUUAAUUUAAUUAGUUGUUCUAACUGCCAAUCACCGUAAAUUGCAAGAAUUAGAAAAUUUCGUUGUUCGAAAUGUCAGUUGACAGUCCCUGCAUACCUGCACAUCUUAAUGCUAUUAAUCAAUGACGCAAAUACGCUGAUAUCAAGGUGUAUUAAAUCAAUAAACCAUUAUAAAGCUA